UACGAGGGGGGCGAGCGUUAAUCGGAAUUACUGGGCGUAAAGCGUGCGCAGGCGGUUCUAUAAGACAGAUGUGAAAUCCCCGGGCUCAACCUGGGAACUGCAUUUGUGACUGUAGAGCUGGAGUGCGGCAGAGGGGGAUGGAAUUCCGCGUGUAGCAGUGAAAUGCGUAGAUAUGCGGAGGAACACCGAUGGCGAAGGCAAUCCCCUGGGCCUGCACUGACGCUCAUGCACGAAAGCGUGGGGAGCAAACAGG
rnacentral:rRNA from 1 species